UGGGGAAUAUUGCACAAUGGGCGCAAGCCUGAUGCAGCCAUGCCGCGUGUAUGAAGAAGGCAUUCGGGUUGUAAAGUACUUUCAGCGGGGAGGAAGGGAGUAAAGUUAAUACCUUUGCUCAUUGACGUUACCCGCAGAAGAAGCACCGGCUAACUCCGUGCCAGCAGCCGCGGUAAUACGGAGGGUGCAAGCGUUAAUCGGAAUUACUGGGCGUAAAGCGCACGCAGGCGGUUUGUUAAGUCAGAUGUGAAAUCCCCGGGCUCAACCUGGGAACUGCAUCUGAUACUGGCAAGCUUGAGUCUCGUAGAGGGGGGUAGAAUUCCAGGUGUAGCGGUGAAAUGCGUAGAGAUCUGGAGGAAUACCGGUGGCGAAGGCGGCCCCCUGGACAAAGACUGACGCUCAGGUGCGAAAGCGUGGGGAGCAAACAGG
rnacentral:rRNA from 1 species